rnacentral:rRNA from 1 species
ACUGGGCGUAAAGGGCACGCAGGCGGUGACUUAAGUGAGAUGUGAAAGCCCCGAGCUUAACUUGGGAAUUGCAUUUCAUACUGGGUCGCUAGAGUACUUUAGGGAGGGGUAGAAUUCCACGUGUAGCGGUGAAAUGCGUAGAGAUGUGGAGGAAUACCGAAGGCGAAGGCAGCCCCUUGGGAAUGUACUGAUGCUCAUGUGCGAAAGCGUGGGGAGCAAACAGGAUUAGAUACCCUGGUAGUCCACGCUGUAAACGAUGUCGAUUUGGGGAUUGGGCUUUGAGCUUGGUGCCCGUAGCUAACGUGAUAAAUCGACCGCCUGGGGAGUACGGCCGCAAGGUUAAAACUCAAAUGAAUUGACGGGGGCCCGCACAAGCGGUGGAGCAUGUGGUUUAAUUCGAUGCAACGCGAAGAACCUUACCUACUCUUGGCAUCCAGAGAACUUUCCAGAGAUGGAUUGGUGCCUUCGGGAACUCUGAGACAGGUGCUGCAAGGCUGUCGUCAGCUCGUGUCGUGAG